UGGAGCAGCUUGGUAGCUCGUCGGGCUCAUAACCCGAAGGUCGUUGGUUCAAAUCCAGCUCCCGCAACCA
rnacentral:tRNA from 1 species